rnacentral:rRNA from 1 species
AUUGAACGCUGGCGGCAUGCCUUACACAUGCAAGUCGAACGGUAACGGGCCUUCGGGUGCCGACGAGUGGCGAACGGGUGAGAAUACAUCGGAACGUGCCCGAUCGUGGGGGAUAACGAGGCGAAAGCUUUGCUAAUACCGCAUACGAUCUACGGAUGAAAGCAGGGGACCGCAAGGCCUUGCGCGGACGGAGCGGCCGAUGGCAGACUAGGUAGUUGGUGGGAUAAAAGCUUACCAAGCCGACGAUCUGUAGCUGGUCUGAGAGGAUGAUCAGCCACACUGGGACUGAGACACGGCCCAGACUCCUACGGGAGGCAGCAGUGGGGAAUUUUGGACAAUGGGCGCAAGCCUGAUCCAGCCAUGCCGCGUGCAGGAUGAAGGCCUUCGGGUUGUAAACUGCUUUUGUACGGAACGAAAAGCCUUCUUUUAAUACAGGAGGGUCAUGACGGUACCGUAAGAAUAAGCACCGGCUAACUACGUG